AGACGUGUGCACUUCCGAGCAGUUUAACCGUGCACGUGAACUAAUGAGCCUCAUUCUGUAAAAGGCUUCUUCAUUCAUUUGCAUACAGACUGAACGUCGGUGCAUGUGCUGCACAGCCGGACGGGGGGGGUUUCGAGUUUACCUCGGCCGAGCGGUCACAGAAGUGUCAUUUUAAGCGGCAGAGCCCGGCGGGGCAACUGGGAGGCAGCCGAUGACGCAGCGCAGUGUUGCUACACACCCCGAGCUGUGUUUGGAAACACUGAGGCAGCUUGCUACUACAGUGGGAGCCAAUGGGAACAGCUGAACCGUGCACUCUUUAGCCCAGUCAAGCGCAAAACAGGGGGGAGGAGGAGAGGGAGGCGGCAAACAGAGAGACAACAGAGAUCCAGGAAAUGCCUGAGCGAGGAGCAGCGACGGCGGGGCCCAUCAAGUCGCACGCAGCCGCAUCGGGCCGCACAUUGAUCACUCUCACAUGAUAUAUCCAUCCCCCUGUAAUUGCAUUGCUGUUUAGAGAGGCAGUCGUUAUUUAUGAAAUAUUGAAAUAACAAAUGGUGUCUCCCGGCAGAUAUUAAGAAGAGAGAUGCCACAGAUAAGUCAGAGGCAGGCAGCGGCCACGUCUCCCCGCGGGCCGCUUGCCCAGUCGCCUGGCUGCAGAAAUCCUGCAGUCAUCACAAAGUGGAAAUAUUUACUGCUCGCACUCUUGCAUACGGGAGGAUGGAGUGUGGGUGAGGGCAGCUGAAAAAUGACUGUGUUUGUGUUUCGAGAGGAGUGCUAAUCUGAUUCCUUCAGCUUCGAAGGCAUUUGAGGACAGCCGAGCUAAAGGUCCCUAGUGUGGAUUUAUAAGUUGCACAAGCACAAAUGGGCACAGAGCCACCAGAAGUGCAACACUGGCGACAGGAAGUUUCUAAUCACAGCCUACAAAAACUGGGAGAAAAUGCAGGGUUUUCACAUUUUCCAAGCUGGUGAAAUUUCGUAGCCAACUUGUUAACAAGGCCCACUGUAAAUGAAUCAUCUAAAUCACUUCGGUCAUCAUCAGGUUUGUUGUGUAACCGUGUGGGUGUCUGUGUGUUUGUG